GCGAUACGUGGAGCUGACGAAUACUAAUCGAUCGAAGACUUAAUCAAUUU
rnacentral:rRNA from 1 species